UGAGUCAGGAGAUGCAAGAACACCCCAAGCCAAACCUUGAAGGCAGGCACCCUCAAGCUGAGGGCCCAGAGCUCCGCAUCUGGAGAAGUGGAGGCUCAUCAAACUGGGGUCAUUUUCAGAUGACCCCAGACUUGCAGAAAUGCUUUCAACCUGUCACCUAUGACUGUGAGUGACAUCAAGGAAAGCAAAGGAACGCAGUGCCGGUGCACAACUGAGAGUGUAGAAUUCAUCCUUGCCAGUUAGAUACUCCUUCUGAGUCGGAACCAUGUCUGGGCAAAGCAGGCACAACAUCCAUCUGCUGAGUCUUGGUGCUCUGCAUCGCUGGCUUCGCCCCUCAGUUCAUCUCGUCUCCAGGUAAAAUGCAGCUAGUCCUCCAUGGGGUUCCAAGAAUCCACUCUCUUCUAGGCUUCUCUUCUCAAAGACCAGAUUUGAACUCCACUCUGCACCUACCACAGACCUCAGUGAUUUGUCUCCAAGGCAAGCCUUGAACCUGGGAAAGAAGCCAGGGUUAGCAAAAGAAGCCCAGGACACAAAAAGUACCUUCAAUAGACUGACUUUGCUUUUCAUGCUUCACUCCAGCCAAUCCCAGAGGAAGGGAUGGGUGGAGAUCCUAGACUCUGUGAGUCCUUUCUGCCCCUGCCACCCCACUCAGAUCCUCCCUUCCAGACUCUUUCAUACAAUGCCCGAGCCUCUGUGUAUGGCCUGUUAGACAAACACAAAAUUCAAACUAGAGAAUGGGAGUGGGGAUCCUCGUCAUCUACAGUGAACUCUAAAACUAAACAGCGAAAUGAUCAAGGUAACUUCUGAAAGGAUGAAAUACAACUGAUCAAUAAACACUUUUAAAAUUGUUCAACAUCUUUAA